rnacentral:rRNA from 1 species
CCUACGGGCGGCAGCAGUGGGGGAUAUUGGACAAUGGGGGAAACCCUGAUCCAGCGACGCCGCGUGAGUGAAGAAGUAUUUCGGUAUGUAAAGCUCUGUCAGCAGGGAAGAAAGAAAUGACGGUACCUGAACAAGAAGCCCCGGCUAACUACGUGCCAGCAGCCGCGGUAAUACGUAGGGGGCAAGCGUUAUCCGGAAUUACUGGGUGUAAAGGGAGCGUAGACGGGGAUGCAAGUCAGGAGUGAAAGGCGGGGGCCCAACCCCCGGACUGCUCUGGAAACUGUGUUACUUGAGUGCAGGAGAGGUAAGCGGAAUUCCUAGUGUAGCGGUGAAAUGCGUAGAUAUUAGGAGGAACACCAGUGGCGAAGGCGGCUUACUGGACUGUAACUGACGUUGAGGCGCGAAAGCGUGGGGAGCAAACAGGAUUAGAUACCCUAGUAGUC